UAAGGCACCCUAGAGGAUGACU
rnacentral:siRNA from 1 species